UUUCCGUAGGUGAACCUGCGGAAGGAUCAUUACUGAGUGAGCGCCCACUAGGUCCAACCUCCCACCCGUGUUUAUUCUACCUGGUUGCUUCGGUGAGCCCGCCUCACGGCCGCCGGGGGGCAUCUGCCCCCGGGCCCGCGCGCGCCGAAGACACCCUAGAACUCUGUCGGCAGUUUGUUGUCAUAUCGAAAACUAAAUAAGUUAAAACUUUCAACAACGGAUCUCUUGGUUCCU
rnacentral:misc_RNA from 1 species